rnacentral:lncRNA from 1 species
GCCAUCCCUAGGAUGGGGAAGCAGCUGCAGCUCAUUUCUAUUUAUGUAGUUUUUUUAUGUCAUUGUUGGUACUGUAAUGAUUCUCCCUCUCUCCUUUCGUUUCCUGGGCUUUGUUUCUCUCCUACCUCAGCUGGGUCCUGAGUGAGUUGCAAAGUGUUACUAGAAAGCUGGAGCCCUCUGCUGUGGGUGUGGCACUUUGACUCUGCCCAUCUUCUGCUCCACAAAUUUCUUUAAAGUGUUGGUAAAAUUAUUCCUAGAUAUCCUUCAACAUAAGGUGGCUUAUGAGUUAGACACUCAAUCUUUCCCAAAUUAUUUCCUUAGGAAACAUGUUUUGAUGCUGCUUAACACAGCUUUUGGAAGUUGAUGAACAUCAUCAAAGUGUGAACCCAUCUCAGCUGACAAGGGGGACACAAAUUUGCUGCCUUCCUAUGUCAGCAUCUGAAGAGAUGGCAUGUGGAUGGGAACCAGCCAGGACAGCUGUGGAGGCAGCCAUAUCGCUGAAGAAGUGCAGGCUGCACCUGACCUUUCCCAGUGACCAAGGCAGUGCACACAGGGCCACACAGGGACAUCCUUCCAUGUUUUAUGGUUUGUAGGUGGCUGUCGAAUUCAGCGUCAUGGGAUUUUUCAUGUGUUCCCCCAGCUUCUUUGGGAAGGAGUCCUGGUAGGGGCAGAAGUCGGUGGCCCAGCCCAGCUUCUGGCACUUCCAUGGGAGUGAGGUGCAAAGACAGAGUGCAGUACAUUUAAAGUGUUUUGCCAAAACUUUUUUAUGGGAUUUGAGUACAAAUACCAAAGGGGUUGUCCAUGGAAAGAAGUGGGCCUUAGGCUGAUAUCUUGUUGGGGGAUGCAGCGAGAUUGGGGGUAACCUCUGACCCCAUCUGUAGGAUUCACUGGAUCUGCUUGAUGUUUGCUUGUAGUUGUUUGACUGAUGAUGACAUUACUGUUUAGACAUUUGGACUGCAAGGAGAAAUCCCACCACAGAUAAGUAGAUCGUCUUGUCUUUGCAUGGGCAUGCUGCCCUGGCUUGUCUGAUGUGUGCAUUAUGGGACGUAUGCACAGGAACAGCUCAGUUACCCACUCACCAGUCGUGAGGGUGCAAGACCUCUAAAAGUGAGGCCUGUAACUUGUUCAUCUUCAAGAUAGAGACUUCACAUUUCGGUGUAAUCACCAUCAACACUUACUGAAUUGAUCCGAAUUCAAUAAAUAUGAAUUCACGGAUAAUCUGCCAAAUUUAAAAUAUUGCCCUAGUGGUUUGGGGUGCACAGAGUUAAGUGAAACCACCCAUUCUUAGGGAUCAUCCAAUGCAGGAGUGCUGGCAUAUUCAUCAGCAAGGGCUGUCACACAGAACAUCACAGGCCCUGUGCUUACGCAACCGUUUCUGCUGAGGCCUCUCUUCCUGCUUAUAGACAGUGCCUUUUCACUUUGAGCUUGCUUGGCCUCUUCUCUGUGCAUGCACAGAGAGAGAGAAAGGGAGAACAGGCAGCCUCUGGCGCCUCUUCCUGUUCUCAUGACACUAGUUAAUAAGGUUCGGUUCUGUGUCCCCACCCAAAUCUCAUCUUGAAUUGUAGCUCCCAUAAUUCCUACUUGUUGUGAGAGGACCUGGUGGGAGAUAAUUGAAUCGUGGGGGUAGUUUCUCCCCACACUAUUCUCAUGAUAGUGAAUAAGUCUCAUGAGAUCUGAUGAUUUUAUAAGGGGUUUCCCCUUGGCUUGGUUUUCAUUCUCUCUUGCCUGCUGUCAUGUAAGAUGUGUCUUUCACCUUCCAUCAUGAUUGUGAGGCCUCUCCAGCCACGUGGAACUGUGAGUCCAUUAAACUUCUUUUUCUUUAUAAAUUACCCAGUCUUUGGUAUGUCUUUAUCAGCAGUGUGGAAAUAGACUAACACACCAGUCCUAUUGGAUUAGGGCCCCACCCUUACGACCUGACUAGACCUUAAUUACUUUCCUGAAGGCCCCAUCUCUAAUAUAGUCACACUGGAGGGUUAGGGCUUCAACACAUGAAUUUGGCUGGGGAGGCACAGUUCAGUACACAACAGAUGGGAACCAUCUUUUUUUUUCUGUUUCAACUUUUUUUUCAGUAUCAACUUUUUGUUUUGUUACAGUGAUUUAGCAUAAAACAAGUAGACACUAAUGUAACAUGCUCACUUAAAAUUCCAAGAAUUCUCAAAAAUUCUCGUACUAUGAACUGACCUUCUUAGUUUCUAAAACUGAAGAAAUCAUUGUAAUUUAAAACAUAAAUCAUCUCAAUCAUAAACAUUAAGAGUUUCCUUGGUGUUCACUCUUGGGAUAUUUCAAAAGAUGAUAAAGUAUGAAAUUAAGCAGAGCCUAUUAAGAUCAACCAUUUUUUAUUAUAUGACCUAUUCAUUUCAAAAUGUAGAUGCACAUAAUAAAUAAGUUUUCCAGUGUGUGCCUGCUCAGAGGUUUCUACACUCUCAGAAAGAAACCAAGCUAAUUACACAUGAAAUAUCAACUGGUGAGCAAUUAUAACCUGAAAAAUACCCUCAUGAUUUUGUAUAUUUUAUAAAUUUAUGAGUUGGGCAAAAAAUGUUAUAUCUAUACCAUGAAUUCAGAAACAGUGGUAAAAUAUGGUCAUAACAAACAGUAUGUGUAUAUAUACACACACGUAUACACAUACACACAUUAUACAUACACGUACCUCAUACACACACACACCUCAUACACACACACCCACACACCCACACCCACCACUAUCAUAAACUUCUGCUUUUAUUUGGCUGGUAAUAUGUACAAAUGAAUAUUUCUGAUUUGUUAGCUUUCUUGGCAUAUUUCUGUCUAAUUUUUUUAAUCUCUCCUCCUUCUUUUCAGAUAAGAAAAACAUGCUCUCUCUUCUCUAAUGAUUGGACAGACUCCUACUCCAAAACAGAAGAUCUCAACUCUGGAAGGGAGGAGAAACAAGACCCCCAGGACUUGUCAAUGGCACACAUGAAAGACAGAAAACACCAGAAGCCAGUCUUCAGCCUGCUGGCCCAGCCAUGGCCACUGUAACGUACGGCUAAACCCCUGCCCCGAUCAGCUCUCAAGGCUCUGAGCCAACUGCCUAGACCGUCUAUUUGAGAUCCCUGAGAGUUUCAACACAGGGCAUGGCUGACCUCUCCACCGUGUCAUUUCCAGUAAUGCGGCCUCACUGAUAGCAGAAGUUCGGAGAGCUCUUGUCAGAGAGGCCAGCUGGCACCAUGUGAGUCUUACCCAGAGGGAAACCUGACAAUCUUCCAGCAUGCUCACCAGACUGGGGCACUGACUUUUGUCACUUGAUUCUCAACUCACAGUCUCAAGAUGCUGGUGCUAAUGUACAUUGCAGCUGACACUGGAGUUUAUUUUUAUAACUGCUCUUGCCUCAGAAAAAGCUCCAUCCCAGUACGACUUCCAGGACAGGGAUGGUCUGGAUGCUGCAGUUAGGACAAUGAUCAUCUCGUUCUCUUAGUGGUUAGGAAUCCUGUGGGCUUAUGGAAUAAGCUCGCUGAAACAGACAGUGACAUCCACGGUGACACUGACCGAAUUGUGCUCCAGUGGCCUAGAGAGUGCCUAUUAUUUAUCUCAUUUCUGUUCUGCAUAAUAACACCAACCAAACCGCUAAUGAAUGAAUAUUAUUACAUGCUUUGGUAGGAACGCAAAGGCAAAUUGGGCUCACUGUAGAGAAUAUCUUGCUCCUCAUUUUGUAUUAAAAUGCCUAGACGCCCCUCAAGAGACCAUGUCAAGGAUGAAAUUUAUCCACUGCCUGCAUUUGCUAAUUUGAAAGAGUUCUGAUUUCAUCUGCCGGGCUUAAUAUAGAAAUUCUUUUAACCUGAACAGAUACACAGAAAUGUGGAAUUUAUUCAAUGCCAUUUUCUUGAUUUAUGUCAGGAAAUAUAUAUGGCUAUGCUGUCAUCUUUUUAUAUAUAGACAUCAAUAUAUAUAAAUAUAUAGAGUCAAGUCAGAAAUUCUGAAACCACAUUGCACUUAGCCCUUACAGCAUAAUGCUUUCCAUAUUCUUCACAGUUUGUUUCCCUGAUCCUUUAGAGAGAGCUACUGUGUUUAAAGUGUAAACCAUUUUUACAGAAAAAAUGUAUUACAAUUCUAUAUGAUAAUUCUCAAAGUUCAGGAAAAUAAUCUGAAAUAAACAUUCUAAAUUGAGGAAUGAAUAAUAAAGACUCAUCAAUUGGGCUGGGAGCAGUGGCUCACGCCUGUAAUCUCAGUACUUUGGGAGACCGAGGCAGGCGGAUCACCUGAGGUCAGCCUGGCCAACCUGGUGAAACCCCGUCUCUACCAAAAAAAUACAAAAACUAGCUGGGCAUGGUGGCACAUGCCUGUAAUCCCAGCUACUCUGAAGGCUGAGGCAGGAGAAUUGCUUGAACCUGGGAGGCAAAGGUUCCAGUGAGCUGAGAUCGCCCUAUUGCACUCCAGCCUAGCUGUCUCAAAAAAAA